rnacentral:lncRNA from 1 species
GCUCUCUCUUCCUCCCUCUCCUCACCAGCCAGGUUUACGUUUCCUGUCAUUUUGGACCCCUGGUUCUGACUGUGGCUUUGGGCCUCUGGCUUUAUCCUCCCUUGUCCUAUGCCUUCCCAGUGGUGGUCAACAUGUCCCCCCAUCUUUUGGUCCCUCAGGACAACAAGUUAACAGUCCCGAGAGCAACACAGAGAACAACUUCACCUUCUCGCGAGUCCUCCUUGCUCCUCGUUUCUCUCCCUCAGCGGGCUCCCGAGGCCCGGGGCGAUGGGCGCCACCGCUGCAGGGACCCGCGCUGCUGCGCGUCAGGUUCCUGUUAGACUUGUGCCUGCUCUGGCGGGGAGGAAACUGCUCUCUGGAAGUACGCUCGUGACCUGUGCAAAAUGAAUUCACUUUUCCACGGCACCAGAGGACCAUUAGUAAAUUCAUUGCCCAGAAUACCCCGCUGGUGUCCUGGAGGAUGGAUUUGGUGUCACACGGUAACAUAGAUUAAUGACGAGGACAACAACAACAAUGGCAACAACUAUCAAAUCCUGGCACAGAGGAAGAUACUCCACGCACGUUGUGUCACUUAAUUUAGCAAAAACAGUGUGAGAAAUGUGGUUUGACCAAAGCAGUCCUGGACCAGGAGGCGUGGCUUCUUGCCCCAGCUCUGCCGCCGAUCCGCUGUAUGAACUCGGACAAGGAGCAUCUUUGGGCCUCAGUGUUUUCACCUGUAAAAUGAAGAAGGCUUCAUGAAGAGUCCUCGAAGAUCUCUCCAGUGAAGGCAGUCUGUGAUUCCAUGAAUCAUGAUGCAAAAUUUGUCCCCCAAAGGAGGAGCAACGUUACUAUACCUCACUGCACGAUUGUCACAGGCAUUCGCAGAACUGUGAUCAACGUAUCCACCCACCCCUCCUGAGAUGAGGGGCACUAAGAAACAGAAGACCUGUGUGUUCUAUGGAAUUAGUUCGCUUUCUUACAUUUUCUAGCCUUCAGUGCUGUGAUAAAAACAAAUUUAAAAGCACCCUGCAACACCGUCGUUGAGGUUCCAAAGCAAGGGUGAGAUGUGAGCCCUCAGUGGGAGGAGGCGGGUCUCAUGAUGGGGGCAUGGAGCGUGGGCACUGUUACCAUUGCGCAAAGCUCCAGGGAAGCGAAACAAAGGAAAUGGAGGAGCUUUGAAGGUCCCUGCCAAACUCUUCUUAAGAGCAACAGGAUUAGGAGGAAAAUGAGGCUUCUGAGGGCAUGACCAAGCAUUUACUAUCCCCUUGGAAGCUGCAAAACAAAAACACAAUCAUCUUCAUCUCGCCAUUAAAAAGAAAACAUGAAGGACAGUGGAUCUGGUUGAUCUCUGUAAGUGGAUUACAAAGCUUGGAUGGAAAUUCUUUUGCAAUGAAGUGGCCCAAAGCUUCAUGGCCAGGACAGAAUACCUCAGCGCAGAGCUUUAGGUCCACCCUAGACCUUAGAAAAAUGAGGCUUAAUUCUACAUCAUAAAUGGUUUUAAUCUGCACAACUUUUCCUACUACUUUUGAAACAAUUUGGUUUCAGGAACAAUGGAAGCUCGAACUCAGUUUGUUGGCGGCCAUUAACAGCUCUCAUUUGGAUGAAUAUUUUUGAAAGCUCUUUUUUUUUUUUCAUUGUCACAAAAAAUGAACUAGCGAUGCAUAAGCAAACAUAAAAGAAGAGCUUAAUAUAUUGGCAGAUAAAAACACAGCACACAGUGAAGGAAUGUAUUAUGGACAUCAGCUGUAAAAAUGUUUUCAAUUCCUUUUGGUGUUAAGAUACAGCGUAAGAAACUAGUCAGUUUCUGGAGAGUCGCUUGAGGCAAUUUGCAUAGAGAAUGUUUAUUGCAGGAUGGCAGAUGUGACUGAAUAAAUAGAGCUGGUUCUUGUGGAUGUUGCCUCCCGUCUCUGUCCAGGCUCCCAGCAUCUGGGAGCUGAGGCCGUGCGGUGCUAAGAGAAAGAUUCCAGGGAUCGAGACACAGUAACAGGUCUUCCCCACAAGUCUGUAUAAUUUUAACUUAAUUUGCAGCUAAUCGAUGCAGCUCUGUUAGAGGUUUCUGUGAGGUGAGUCCUCUGAAAGAACUCUUUGAACAAGAGAAAUGCAGGUUUACUCUCAGCCCCAGAAACAUUUCCUUUUUUUUUUUAAGAUGGCACAACAUAAAUUCACCCCGUUUGUGCACAUUGUGAUCCUUUCCCGUUCUAUUGUGGAAGAUGGUUUACCACACAGGCUCUUUUAUAACCGGGUUCUGGGGAAGCACUUAAUUACUCACCUAGGGAGGAGGGCUUCACGUGGAGAAAAGAGUGACGAAAAUGUUAUGAAAAGUGACAUGGAUUGAAAGGGAGGAUAAUACGCCAAAUUAUAAAACCAAACAGACAAUUUUCUUUGAUUUCCUUCCAGAUGUAAGAAAGAGGUCGUGUGAACCAACCAUCCUGCGAACAGACGAUUGUUCCCUCUGGGGGUCCUAGGGAAGGGAAGGAGGGGCAGAGGAGCACACGGGUUGUGGCUCAUUUGGGUUUCUCGUUCCAGAUGCAGUGGUGACAGCGGACCUGCUCCACUGUGCCUUCCAGUUGCCUUUGGGGUCAGGUUCCAAUGCUGAGCACGCCCACGAGCGCUGCUGGUCAGCCUCUUUUCCAGCCAUCCUCCACAGGCCCCCAGGGUUCCUCAAGAGCAAACGUCACCAACUCAGGCUGACUCAUAUAAGGUGGUACAGCUUCCUCCCCAUUCACUGGAACACUCACAUUGGGAGCCUGGGGAAGCCACGUAGGAAGUCUGACCAGCACGAGGCCGCCAUGCUGUGUGGAAACCCAAGUCACACUGUGAGGCUCUGCGUAGCUGCCCCGGUUAACCAUCCCAGCUGAGCUCAGCCUGAGUCACUCGCCUCCAGACACCAGACAUGUGAGUGAAGGAGCCUCCAGGUAAUUAUCCUGCCCCAAGCCAUUCUACUUGUCCCAUCUGAAGCCGUGACAUCGUGAAACAGACGCUAGCCAUCCUCUCUGUACCCUUUCCAAAUUAUCUGUAAGAAUAAUUAAAUCAUUGUUGUUUUACACCACUAAGUUUAAGGACAUUUCUUAAGCAACAUUAAUAACCAAAACACUAACUGAACCCCAAUUCACCCUCCACUGCAUGUUUAUGUCCUGGAGGAGAGGAUGUGGCCCUUUCUCGGCUGCUGAGGGUGAGUAUUUGUUUGUUUAAGGCAAUUGUGGUCAUGUCAUUUCUCUCACUAUGUGUUUAGAUUGGGUGUGAUCUGGAGAUGCUAUUCCGGCCAAUACAAUGGGUGGAGAAGUUUGCUGGGCUGCUUUUGGGAAAAUUCCCCUUAUUCUCAAUGGGAUUUGCAGGACAGGGUGGUUCCCACUGCUACCUUUGCAUGUUGUUGUCUGUGCAUGGUGCCUAUGCCUGUGGUACCCAUCCUAGGACUCUCUAUCGGGGGAGACAACAGCCCAAGAGCACAAGCCCCACACUGAAGGUGCUAGGUCAAAGAGGAGCGGGGAGAAGCCAUGCCCUUGAUGAUGCUCAACAUCGACGGUGCUCAGUCCUGGAAGAAGCUCCGCCUUUGCACUUCUUGUUGUGGAGUAUAGUUUCCUCGUUGCUUGAGCCUGCUUGCGUUGGGCCUUCUGAGAGCUUCAGCCAAAGUUGCCUAAGUGGUCUUUGCUAUCUCAGAGCACAGAUUUUGGUCCUAAAGAUCCAGGUUCAAAUCUUGGUUCUGUCACUUACCAGCUGUGAAACUUUGAGUUGUUCUGACUCUAUUCCUUCAACUGUAAAAUUAGGAUAAAAAAGGUUUUCGUUACUGAAUUCUUGUGAAGAUAAAAUCAUUCACUCAAUAAGUCAUUAUUGAGUGCCUGCUGUGUGCCAGGCACCGUUCUCGGCACUGGGGAAGUGGCUUUGAGGGAGACAGAUAAGCUUCCAGCCGUCAUGGUGCCUUGAUUGGUGCGAGGGAGCCGGGUAAUAAAUGAGCAAAGGAACAAGAGAAUCUCAGUGGCAAAUGCUACGAAGAUGGAAUGAGACGAGGCCCACAAAACGCCCAACACUGGGCCUCGCACACUGCCAGCAAACCGUAAUGGUAUCUAUUGUUUUUAUUCUUAAAGUUAAUGGUAUUCAGAUCACCAUUAGGAAAAGCGAGUGAGCAUGAGUGAACUUUGAUUUUGGUCUGAGGAUUGUAGGAAAGCGAAGGGUGUUCGUUCCUCCUGUUUCCAUCCAUUAGGAUUAAGAAGUUGAGGCCUGCUCUGCAGUGCACUGGUCUGAAUUUUAGCCUUUAGCAUCUUGGAAUUGGCUCCUUCCUCGGCCCGGCCCCGCCCCAGGUUAGCUGGGAGAGGUGUGUGGCUGUUGUGCAAGGGGCUCCAUGGGAAGGGCGUCCACUGGCUCUGUUCUGACCCUCGGGCAGCCGGGGUGAUGGGAGAGUGUCAGACUGAGGUGGCCAAGCGCCAGCACGUCCCCAGGUUCUCCUUGCUGCCAUGGCCUCACGCCGCCCAACUGUGCAAAGCGGGUGGACGGACGGAACCACGGCUCCAGCGCCCGCACGCCGAGGUCGUGCACUGAAAGCUGCGAGGGCUUGGCUGGGCGAGGCUCGUUUCGUCUUUGCGGGAGCAGUUCCUGUUCUACGUUUUCCAAAUACCUAGAAAUUGGAGAAUAAUGACAAAAACUACUCAGCGUGGAUUUUUGUAGGGAGGGGUGGGCCAGGCAUUUGUAAAGUAUCUUUAAAUUGCCGUGGCGUCCAAGAAAGAUUAAUGGAUGAAAAGUCUUGACUUCCAGCUCAAAGUGGCAGAGGAAAUUCUGCCAUAACAUGGUCUGCCGCUAAUCCCCAUCAGUGCAGAGCUGGAUGACUUUUUGCACUGUCUUAUCUCUCUAUUAAGGCAUCUAAUCACUCUUUUCCUGUUUACUUUCUCCCUAAUAUGCACAGUCUGUUAAUGAUAAAUAGUGCUGAAUACCCACCCACACCUCCAGCUGAGAGACUGAGCUCAGGGGCUCUCUGCCUGUGUGUUUGGAAGCCGUGCUUAUGCUGGGUGCUGCCUUGACGCCGGUUAUCCCAAAGAACACCCCCUUCUCACAUCUCAGCUCUCCGUGCCAGGCUGGAAUUCAAUCUGCCUGGCUUGCUGGGCAGCCCUUCAGAUCUGAGUAGGACUUCGGGCUGCUGCUGUCAAACCCACGGAGAAGAAAAACAAGCCCUGCCUGCCCGGCCCUGGCUGCUGGGCGGCCGAGACCUGCAGCUGCGUAGCCAUCCUGUCGUGAGUGAUGGGCCGUGACCGCUCAGCUGUGCAGGCUCACCACUGAAGAUGCACAUGCAGCCCUUUCUUUUCUUUGCGUGCUUGCAUCUGUUCACUGAGGCAUUCCCCUGGAGCUCAGGGUGGUGCAUUUUUUUUUUUUAGGGGAUUGUCGGUUCCAAGUGCUUCUUGCCGUCUUACAAAGGAAACCUGCUGAAUCAUCAGUGGUGGACAAAUACCGUGGCUGGAGCUGACGUUUGAUGGUGUUCCUGGUGGAGGAGGCCACUGUCCGUUCAACCUUUAGGCCUUCGUGGAGGGGUGGGUACUAGAAACUUUCAGUUUCCGUAUGCAGCCUGCGUUACACUUCUGGACAGUGCUGUCACCGAAUGAGGAUCUCAGAGAUUGUCUAUUGUGACCACCCUGUAGAAACUGGAUGGACCUCAACCCAAAAUUUGGCUCAGAUGUUGAGACUGAUUAUGUCACAUAUCAAGAGGAGAUGAAAAGUGUCUCAUGGAAAGCCACCUUGGAGGACAAGAAGAUUCUUUCUCCAGGAGAUGGUCUUUGUGUUUUGUGGAUCUGCUGGGAAGGAGGAAAUGCUGAAAGCUGGCGGUCAGGUGCUGCCUGGGCCCCCAGGGACUCUGGCUCCUAGAGCAGCCCCAGGCCGACUUGGCUGAUGUUUGCUGACAAGCUGGCUCAGGAAAGUGACUUGAAAAGUAAAUACUAACUCAACACAAAAUGAAAAGGAAACGAAGAGUCUGAAAAAAAACCAAAAACACAAACAAAUCCGUGAGAAGAGAGUGGGCAUUGUGCGCUCCCUCUUUUUGACAUCAAAGUGUCUUUGAAUGGAGCCAGGAAGCUCUCACAUCUUUAAAUCCACGUUUACUUGAGGUUUGAAAACUUCCAAGAGAGGUUAGCAGUCCGGGGACAGAGGGCUCCCACUGCACCACAGGAGCAGAGCUUAAAUGCUUUACAAAGAAAAGGGAACACACUCGUUGGGGUUUGUUUUAAUCCUUCCAGGAGAGUGGUGUGGAGUGUACAGCAUGCAUUUGGAAGCCCGAGUACUUAAACACACAUCUGGGAAGGUUCAGAAUCUUCGCCUGGUUCUCGGUGUCUCUGAAGUGUUAGUAGUCCAGUGUCUUGUUUAUUGUGCCACACAAAAAUAAAUCUGAAUCUGUUUUGAUUUUUCUGAUUCUCUUCCACUCUGGAAGUAGAGCAGCCUUUUUGGUGGAAGUGACUUGCAUAAAGUCUCAAAUAAUUACCAAUUCCAGCUGACACUCGCUGGGACCCUGGAACUCGCUCCAUCUGCUGCCUUCCAGGAAGAACAAAGGAUGGAAGGAGUUGCUGGAGAACCAGAGAAAGAGCGCCUCCUAUAUUAUGGCCAACACAGAGAAUUCCAUAAAGAUUUGCAUGUGGAGUCAGCCCACAAUUGUCUGGCGAAUGGGAGAAGAUAGAUAUGAAAAGUAAUUUUACCAGACCAACUUAGACGGCAGUUCUGGGAUGCACCGGUGGAUUCUUGGUCCAGACGUGGAACCUGUUUUUUAAGUUCAAGAUGAGUUUAACCACAACCCAGGUGAGAUCGACGGGCAGCCAACAAAGGAUGGCUCAGCCCAUCCAAUCAAAAGACGUCAAAGCUAGACCAUGAGGAGGUCGAGGGAACUACUCCAAUAAAAGUUCAUGAAGGCCCUUGUCCAGUUUCCAGACUUGAGCCAGUUUUUGGACAGAACCUGUUGACUGAAGGAAAGGCAGAUUCUCCAGGACGAAGGAACUUGCAACACCACGCAGUCCCCUCCAGCAUCGACUCUGAGCUUGGGAAAAUGGAUGUGGGCAGGCAUGAUGCAAGCAAAGGCUGAGAAGAGUCUGCACGUGGUGGCUUGUCUUCUUGGAGUGCUUGCUCUGGGGAUCUGUUAGCCAUGGAAAGAAGCUCUAGGUAGCCACAUGAAGAGACGACACGGAAAGAGAGGCCCCAGCCUGCCAGCCCUCCCUGCUAAUGUGCCCACCACAUGAGCGAAGCUGUCUUGGACAUUCCUGCCAUCUGACUGCAUCUGCUUGAGAGACUCCAAGCAAGACCAGCAGAAGAACGAUCCAGUUCAGCCCUGUGAACCCACGCGUUGGUUCUAAGUAAUAAAAUGGUAGCUGUUUUAAUCCCCCACGUUUUGUGGUUAUUUGUUAUUCAGUAACAAGUAG